rnacentral:lncRNA from 10 species
GGGUGAUAAAGGAAAUGAAGGGAGGAAAAGCAUUUUCCUAAGCCCACUGCAAAAACUGGAACCAGAGGAGACGGAGAAUGUUAACUCCUUGUAUAUAUGUGUGAGAAAGAACCUGAGCUGGAAUUAAAACAGAGGCACUCCCUCUGAAGAGGAAGGAGAAACUGAGAGAGUGAGGCAGUUCCUGCUGAACCUUUGUUAGCUCUUGUGGUGAAGGGAGUUUUCGCCAUCAGGGGCAGCCUUGGGAGAGGAUGCUGCUAUAGAAAAAGCUCAUGAAACUCAAAGGCACAGAGACAAGCUCAUGGCUGCAUUAUGAAGCUUGCAUAGUCCCAGGAGAGCGGAUAGCCCUCUUAGCAGAUUCAAAUUCCACUCUCUCUAGAAACAUGAAGUAGCAGCCUACUGUGUACAAGAAAGCCAUCAGCAAUGAGUAGAGACAGCGUUUCACCAUAUUGGCCAGGCUGGUCUCAAAUUCCUGACUUCCAGUGAUGUGCCCACCUCGGCCUCCCAAACUGCUGGGAUCCACUUUGCUCUGCCUCAGGGACCUGCAGCCAAGUUCGUUACGGACCAGCUUGCUGAGUUGUCUUGAAAAGCGGGCUUACAGGUGUUCUAAGCCCAUGUUUUAUCCUGAAGUUCCCCUCGACAAGAAAAACGAAUUCAUAGCACAAAGUACACCAGUUUAAGACUAGCCUUAGAAUUCUUUUUUGCAUUAAUCCAAACAGAAGAGAUUUGUUUUACCAUUCCUUCAAUCGUUCCCACAGAGAGAAGUCAGAAAUCUGACUGCGUAUGUCAAGCCUCUGAGCCCAAGCCGGCCUGUAUACAUCCAGAUAGCCUGAAGCAACUGAAGAAUCACAAAAGAAGUGAAAAUGGCCGGUUCCUGACUUAACUGAUGACAUUACCUUGUGAAAUUCCUUCUCCUGGCCCAGGAGCUCCCCACCAAGCACCUUGUGACCCCCGCCCUGCCCUCAAGAGAACAACCCCCUUUGACUGUAAUUUUCCACUACCCACACAAAUCCUAUAAAACUGCCUCACCCCUAGUUCCCUUUGCUGACUCUUUUUUCAGAUUCAGCCCACCUGCACCCAGGUGAUUAAAAAGCUUUAUUGCUCACACAAAGCCUGUUGGUGGUCUCUUCACAUGGACACGCAUGACAUUUAGGUGCCGAAGAUCCAGGACAGGGGGACUCCUUUGGGAGACCUGUCCCUUGUCCUUGCACUCACUCUGUGAGGAGAUCCACCUACUGUCAGGCCUCUGAGCCCAAGCUAAGCCAUCAUAUCCCCCUGUGACCUGCACUUAUACAUCCAGAUGGCCUGAAGCAACUGAAGAUCCACAAAAGAAGUGAAAAUAGCCAGGUCCUGCCUUAGCUAAUGACAUUCCACCAUUGUGAUUUGUUCCUGCCCCACCCUAACUGAUCAAUUGACUUUGUGACAAUACACCCUCCCCGCCCUUGUGAUAAUGUACUUUGUGAUAUUCCCCCAUCCUUGUGAAUGUGCUUUGUACAAUACACCCUGCCCACCCUUAAGAAGGUACUUUGUAAUAUUCUCCCCUGCCCUUAAGGUACUUUGUAAUAUUCUCCCCACCCUUAAGAAUGUACUUUGUAAGAUCUACCCCCUGAUCGCAAAAAAAUUGCUCCUAACCCCACCGCCUAUCUCAAA